UGAAACUCCUUUUUGAUGUGUAGAUUCAUCUGACAGAGUUACAUCUGUCUUUUGAUUUAGCAGAUUGGAAACACUCUUUUGGAGAAUAUGCUGUGGGCAUUUGGGAACACACUGAGCUUUACAGAAAAAAAUUGAAUAUCCCGGAUAAAAAGUAGAAAAAUGCUAUUUGUGAAAGUCCUUUGUGAUGUGUGGAUUCCUCUCACAGAGUUAAAACUUUCUUUUGUAUCAUCAGGUUGGGAAUACCUUUUUUUUAGAAACUGUUCAGGGAAAUUCGGGACCCCAUUGAGGCCUAGAAUGAAAAAACUGAAUAUCCCCAGAUUAUAACCAGAAAGAAGCUAUGUGUGAAACUGCUUUCUGACGUGGGGAUUCAUCCCACAGUGUUAAACUGUUCUUUCCAAUCCAUAGCUUCAAAACGUUCUUUUUUGUAGAAUCUGCUAAAAAAUUCUGGAGUCCAUUGAGGCCUCUGUGAAAAAACUGAUUAUCUCUAGAUAAACACCAGAAAGAAGCUAUCUGUGAAAAUGCUUUGUGACAUGUGGAUUCAUCUCACAGAGUUAAACCAUAUUUUUGAUUCAGCAGGUUGGAAACACUCUUUUUGGAGAGUCUGCGAAGGGACAUUUGGGAGCCAACUGAUACCUAUGGGGAAAAACCCAAUAUCACCAAAUAAAAACUAGGAAGAAGCUAUCUGUGAAACUGCUUUGUGAUGUUUGGAUUCAUCUCACAGAGUAAAGGUUUCUUUUGAUUCAGCACAUUGGAAACACUCUUUUUGGAGAAUCGGCAAACAGACAUUUGGGGACACAUUGAGGCAUAUGGGGAAAAACUGAUUAUCCCCAGAUGAAAACUAGAAAGAUGCUAUCUGUGAAACUUCUUUGUGAUGUGUGGAUUCAUCUCACAGAGUUGAACCUUUCUUUUGACUCAGCACGUUAGAAACACUCUUUUUAUGGAAUCUGAGAAGAGAUAUUUGGGAGCCCUUUGAGGCCUCUUGAGGCCCCUUUGAGGAGAAAAACUGAAUAUCCUCAGAUAAAUAGUAAAAAGAAGCUAUCUGAGAAACUGCUUUGUUAUGUGUGGAUUCAUCUGACAGAGCAAAAACUUUCUUUUAUUCAGCAGGUUGGAAACACUCUUUUUGAAGAAUAAGCGAAGGGACAUUUUGGAGCCCAUGAGGCCUAAGGGGGAAAAAACGAGUAUUUCCAGAUAAAAACUAAUAAGAAUCUAUCUGUGAACUGGUUUGGGAUGUGUAGAUUCACCUCACAGAGUUAGUUCUUUCUUUUGUUUCAGCAGGUUGGAAACACUCUUUUUGAAGAAUCUGUGAGGUGACAUUGCGGAGCUCAUUGACGCCUACAGGGAGAAACUGAAUAUCCCUAGAUAAAAACUAGAAAGAAGUUAUCUGUGUAACUGAUUUGUGAAGUGUGGAUUCAUCUGACAGAGUUAAGUUUUUCUUUUGAUUCAGCAGGUUGGAAGCAUUUUUUUUGUAGAAUCGGAGAAGGAACAUUUUGGAGCCCUUUGAGGCAGAUGAAGAAAAACAGAUUAUACCCAGAUAAAUACUACAAAGAAGCUAUCUGUGAAACUGCUUUGUGAUGUAUGGAUUCAUCUCACUGACUUAAACAUUUCUUUUGAUUCAACAUGUUGGAAACAGUCUUCUUAAGUAAUCUGCGAAGGGACAUUUGGGAGCCCUUGGUGACUAUGGGGAAAAACUGAAUAUCCCCAAAUAAAAACUAGAAGUAAACUAACUGUGAAACUGCUUUGUGAUGUUUGGAUUUAUCUCACAGUGUUAAACCUUUCUUUUGAUUUGGCAGGUUGGAAACACUUUUUUUGGAGAAUCUGUAAAGGGACACUUGAUAUCUUAUUGAGGCCUACAGGGCAAAAUGGAAUAUCCUCAGAUAAAAAUUAGAAAGAAACUAUUUGUGAAACAGCUUUGUGAUAUGUGGAUUUAUCUCACAGAGAUAAACCUUUCUUUUGAUUCAGCGGGUUGGAAACUCUCUUUUCAGAGAACUUGUGAAAAAACAUUUGGAAACUUAUUGAGGCCUAUGUUGACAAACCAAAUAUUUCCAGAUGAAAACUAGAAAGUAGUUAUCUGUGAAACUGCGUUGUGAUGCAUCGAUUCAUCUCACAGUGUUAAAACUUUCUUUUGAUUCAGCACUUUGGAAAAACACUUUGUCAAGAGUCUUCAAAAGGAAAUUUGGGUGCCCAUUCAGGCCUAUAGGGAAAAACCGAAUAUCCCCAAAUAAAAAAUUAGAAAGAAGCUGUCUGUGAACAUACUUUGCAAUGUGUGAAUUCUUCUCACAGAGGGUGGAAACACUCUUUUUCAAUAAUCUGAGAAAGGACAUUUGGGAGCACAUUGAGGACUAAGGGGAAAAAUGGAAUAUCUCCAGAUAAAAACUACAAAGAAGUUAUCUGCAAAACUGUGUUGUGAUGGUGGAUUCAUCUCCCAGUGUUAAAUCAUUCUUUUGAUUGAGCACAUUGAGAACACACUUUUUGGAGAAUCUGCAAAAGACAUUGAAGUGCCUUUGUGGCCUAUAGGGAAAAACAGAAUAUCCCCAGAUAAAAACUAGAAACGUAUAUCUGUGACACUGCUUUGUAAUGCAUGCAUUUAUCUCACUGUAUUAAAUCUUUCUUUGAUUCAGUUGGUUGGAAACAUUCUUUUUGUAGAAUCCGUGAAGAGACAUUUGGGAGCCCUUUGAGGCCUAUUGGGAAAAACAGAAUAUCCUCAGGUAAAUACUAUAAAGAAGGUAUCUGAGAAACUGCUUUGUGAUGUGUGGAUUCAUCUCAUGGAGUUAAACCUUUCCUUUGUUCAGCUGGUUGAAAAGACUCACUUGGGAGAAUUGGAGAAGGGUCAUUUUGUAGUCUGUUGAGGGUUACAAGAAAAAACAGAAUGUCCCCUGAUAAAAACUAGAAAGAAGCUAUCUGUGAAACUGUUUUGUGAUGUGUGGAUCCAUCUCAAAAGGUGAAGACCUUCUUUUGAUUCAGCAGGUUGGAAAUAUUUUUUUUCUGAGAAUCUGCAGAGGGACAUUUGGGAGAGCUUUGAGGCCAAUGGGGAAAAAAAGAAUAUCCUCAGAUAAAAACUAUAAAGCUGCCAUGGGUGAAACUGCUUUGUGUUGUGUGGAUCCAUCUCACAGAGUUAAACUUCCCUUUUGAUUCAGCAUGUAAGAAGCACUCUUUUUGGAGCAUCUGCAAAGGGAUAUUUGGGAGCCAAUUGAGGCUUAUCAGAAAAAAAUGAAUAUCUCAAGAUAAAAAGCAGAAUGAAGCUAACUGUGAAACUCCUUUGUGAUGUGUGGGUUCAUCUCACAGAGUUAAACCUUUCCUUUCAUGCAGCAGGUUGGAAACACACUUUUUCUAGAAUCUGCAGAGUUAUUUUUGGUAACCUAUAGUGGACUAAGGGAAAAUCCAAAUAUCAAAAGAUAGAAAGUAGAAAGAGUCCAUAAGUGAAACUGCUUUGGGAUGUGUGUAUUAACCUCACAGAGCUAAACUUUUCUUUUGGUUCAGCAAGUUGGAAACAGUCUUUUUGGAGAAUCUGUGAAGGGACAUUUAAGUGCUCAAGGAGGCUUAUGGGGAAAAAAUAUCUGCUUAAACAAAACAGGAAGAAGUUAUCUGUCAAACUCCUUUUUGAUGUGUGGAUUCAUUUCACAGAGGUAAACCUUUUGUUUGAUUCAUCAGGUUGGAAACAUGCUUUUUGAAUAAUCUGCAAAGGGAAACUUGGUAGUCCAUUAGAGCUUAUGGGGAAAAACAGAGUAUACAGAGAUAAAAACCAGAAGAAACUUUCCAUGAAAGUGCUUUGUGAUGUGUGAAUUCAUUUCACAGAGUUAAAACUUCCCUUUGAUUCAGCAGAUUGGAAACACACUUGUUGGAAAAUCUGCAAAGGGACAUUUGGGAUCUCAUAGAGGCCAAUGGGGAAAAAACAAAUAUCCACAGAUAAAAACUACAACAAACUAUCUGUGAAACUGCUCUGAGAUGUGUGGAUCCAUCUCACAGACGUGAAAUUUUCUUUAGAUCAAGCAAGUUGGUAGCAAUGUUUUUGGAGAAUCUGUGCAGAGACAUUUGGGAGCCUAUUGAGGCCUAUGAGAAAAACUGAAUAUCACCAAUAAAACUAGAAAGAAGUUAUCCAUGAAACUGAUUUUUAAUGUUUGGAUUCAGCUCACAGAGUUAAAUCUUUCUUUUGAUUCAGCUUGUUGGAAUUGCUGUUUUUGGAGAAUCUGAAAAAGGGACAUUUAAGAGCCCAUUGAGGUCUAUAAGUAAAAACUGAAUAUCCCCAGAUAAAAAACUGAAAUAAAUUAUCUGUGAAACUGCUUUGUGUUGUGUGGAUUCAUCUCUGAGAGCUAAAGCUUUCUUUUGAUUCAGUAUAGUGGAAACACAUUUUUUGUAGAACCUGCGAAGGGACACGUGGAAGCCUAUUUAAGCCCAUAAGAAAAAAUUGGAUAUACCCAGAUUUAAACUAGGAAGAAGCUAUCCGUGAAACUGUUUUGUAAUG
rnacentral:lncRNA from 10 species